rnacentral:rRNA from 1 species
GGGAGGUAGUGACAAUAAAUAACAAUACGGGGUUCUUAUGGAUUUCGUAAUUGGAAUGAGUACAAUUUAAAUCUCUUAACGAGGAACAAUUGGAGGGCAAGUCUGGUGCCAGCAGCCGCGGUAAUUCCAGCUCCAAUAGCGUAUAUUAAAGUUGCUGCAGUUAAAAAGCUCGUAGUUGAAUUUCGGGACCAUCAUGUCGGUCGUGCCUCGGUACGUACUGGUAUUGUUGGUUUCUCCCUUCUAACGAACCAUGAUGUCAUUUAUUUGGUGUUGUGGGGAAUCAGGACUGUUACUUUGAAAAAUUAGAGUGUUUAAAGCAGGCUCACGCUUGAAUACAUCAGCAUGGAAUAAUGAAAUAGGACGUUUGAUUCUAUUUUGUUGGCUUCUAGGAUCGACGCAAUGAUUAAUAGGGGAUAGUUGGG